rnacentral:rRNA from 1 species
UAAAUUAAAUAAAAUCUUAUUAUUAUUAAUUAAAUUUAAAGAACAUAAAUAAAAACUAUAGUACUGCAAAGGAAAUAAUAAUUAAAUAAGUAGUAAUAUACGUACCUUGUGCAUAAUGGAUUUACAAGAUAUAAUAUAAAAUAAAAUCCCGAAUUCUUUACGAGCUUAAUAAUAAUUGUUAAGAACUUAUAAAUAAAUGUUGCAAUAUUUUUUAAAAAUUAUUAUUAAGAGGCUACAUACCAAACGCGUAAGAAUAUAGCUGGUUUCUAUUAAAAACUAUAUAUUAGAACAUCUAUUAUAGAAUGUAAAAUAAUAAAAGAUAAGUUUUAUUAUAUAAUCAAUAAAAAAUAUAAAUAAUAAAUUUAGUAGGCCUAAUAACAGCCAACUUUUAAUACUUUAUAGUAAUAUAAAAAUUAUAUAUUUAUAAUUAUAAAUGAUAAAAAUAAAUAGAUAUUAAAAUAAAUUAAAAUUCUUAAUUAAUUAUGUAAAUAUUAGUAUUAAAUUAAAUAUAUUAAAGGAACUCGGCAAAUAUUAUUUCGACUGUUUAACAAAAACAUUUCUUUUAGUAAAUAUUAAAAGUAUAUCCUGCCCAAUGAAAAUUUCAAUGGCCGCGGUAUCCUAACCGUGCAAAGGUAGCAUAAUAAUUUGUCUAUUAAUUGUAGACUAGAAUGAAUGGAUGAACGAAAUAAAUACUGUCUCUAAUAUAUAAAUAAAAAUUAUCUUUUAAGUGAAGAGACUUAAAUAAAAUUAAAAGACAGGAAGACCCUAUUGAGCUUUACUUAAAAUAUAAAUAAAUUAUAUUAUAGUUUGGUUGGGGUGACCUAGGAAUAUUUAACAUCCUAAAAAUAAAAGAUAUAUAAAUCUCAAAUAGAUCCAAUAUAUGAUCAUUAAAUUAAGUUACCAUAGGGAUAACAGGCUAAUAUUUUUUUAGAGUUCUUAUUAACAAAAAUGUUUGGCACCUCGAUGUUGGCUUAGGGAUACAUUAUGGUGCAGAAGCCAUAAAUGAAGGUUUGUUCAACCUAUAAAACCCUACAUGAGCUGAGUUCAGACCGGCGUAAGCCAGGUUAGAUUCUAUCUUUAAUUAAAGUUUUGUUUUCAGUACGAAAGGACCUAAAUAAUACUAUAAUAGUAAUUAAAAUAAUUAUUUU